ACACGCUACAAUGGUCGGUACAAUAGGUUGCCAAGCCGCGAGGCGGAGCCAAUCCGACAAAGCCGGCCUCAGUUCAGAUUGUAGGCUGCAACUCGCCUGCAUGAAGAUGGAGUUGCUAGUAACCGCAGGUCAGCAAUACUGCGGUGAAUACGUUCCCGGGUCCUU
rnacentral:rRNA from 1 species